rnacentral:rRNA from 1 species
CUGCUGCCUUCCGUAGGAGUUUGGGCCGUGUCUCAGUCCCAGUGUGGCCGGCCACCCUCUCAGGCCGGCUACCCAUCGUCGCCUUGGUAGGCCAUUACCCUACCAACUAGCUAAUGGGACGCGAGUCCAUCUUUCAGCGUCAGGUCUCCCCAACUUUUCCUAUAUAAACAUGCACUUAUAUAACUCAUCCGGCAUUAGCUCACCUUUCGGUAAGUUGUUCCAGUCUAAAAGGCGGGUCACUCACGUGUUACUCACCCGUGCG